rnacentral:rRNA from 1 species
GGGGAUGCCUCCUUCGGGGUGAAACUUGCACAGGUGCUGCAUGGCUGUCGUCAGCUCGUGUCGUGAGAUGUCGGGUUAAGUCCUUUAACGAGCGAAACCCUUGCCGUUAGUUGCCAGCGAGUAAUGUCGGGGACUCUAGCGGGACUGCCGGUGUUAAACCGGAGGAAGGUGGGGAUGACGUCAAGUCCUCAUGGCCUUUAUGCCCAGGGCUUCACACGUGCUACAAUGGCGGCAACAGAGCGACGCAAGAUCGUGAGGUUGAGCAAAUCGCAAAAAUGUCGCCCCAGUUCGGAUUGCAGGCUGGCAACUCGCCUGCAUGAAGUCGGAAUCGCUAGUAAUCGCGUAUCAGCAACGACGCGGUGAAUGUGUUCCUGAGCUUUGUACACACCGCCCGUCAAGUGAUGGGAGUUGGGAGUACCCGAAGUCGGGUUGCUAACCCAGUUCGCUGGAA